rnacentral:rRNA from 1 species
GACGAACGCUGGCGGCGUGCCUAACACAUGCAAGUCGAACGGGGUAAUUUCUUCGGAGAUUACUUAGUGGCGAACGGGUGAGUAACGCGUGAGAAACCUGCCUUUCAGUGGGGGACAACAGUUGGAAACGACUGCUAAUACCGCAUAAUGUCAUUUGGGGGCAUCCCUGAAUGACCAAAGAUUUAUUGCUGAAAGAUGGUCUCGCGUCUGAUUAGCUAGUUGGUGAGGUAACGGCUCACCAAGGCGGCGAUCAGUAGCCGGUCUGAGAGGAUGAACGGCCACAUUGGGACUGAGAUACGGCCCAGACUCCUACGGGAGGCAGCAGUGGGGAAUAUUGGGCAAUGGGGGAAACCCUGACCCAGCAACGCCGCGUGAAGGAAGAAGGCCUUCGGGUUGUAAACUUCUUUUACCAGGGACGAACAAAUGACGGUACCUGGAGAAAAAGCAACGGCUAACUACGUGCCAGCCGCCGCGGUAAUAC